UACUACGUUUUUCACACGAAUCCAUUAAAACGCAGAAAUCGAUCUGGAGCUAUAAAUUAAAUACAUCUUCGGCUCAUGCACGAACGUUAAUAAUAAAUAUAAAUAACUGGAUACAAAUCGAUAGGCCUAGUAUAUUUGUAGAUCUGUUCAGUACAUUAUUUUACCCGUCGAAUUUGGUGAAGUCAUUGGGUGUCUUUUUCUGACACGUGUACCAGGACUUGGCAAGCAUUUUAUUGAUGUGACAUUGAUCGAUACCGUUCAUUUGGAAUUCGACGCAAGAACGGAAUCACUGGGCCCAACAUGACGUCCUGCCCAACAAUGGUCCCCAGCACCAUGUGUUUUCGACUCCACCGACCGCAUCCAAAGAGCGUGUGCUCCGAGCAAUCACCAGCGUCAUCACAGGACCAACACUCUGGGUUUGUCGCUCAGACAAAUCUGUACGGAUCCUUGUGAGAUCGACUCUCACACAUUCUCACACAUUUUGUAUGAGCAGCCUCGUCCACGCACCCUUGGUUGUUCCGGCACACCAUUCCUGCUGCCACCGGUCCCACGAUCCCGUGUCCACCCGCGUGCCUUGCAUCUUCCACGCUGCUUUUAAAAAACCGUUUGAACCGACCUCUCGCCAUCAAGUGUGCAGGUUAGAUAAUCCUCAGCUAACCUAACCUAACCUACUGACAACCAAUGUGGAUACCGUCCUGGUACGCACUGGUGACUCUCAACGCUGAUGCUGGCUGUGGACUGGACAGUAGCUUUAUAUGAUCAUGAAAAACCAGCGAGGCACUACACACGGGAGCCGCAUCCUCCAAGAUCUGUACAUUGCUGAAGUAUGUGCUGACCGUACUACGCAUGAUGGUGCAGCGGUAGUAUACCACAUAAACUGUGAAUUCUCUGCAAUCCAGUAUUGGGGUGUUAAAACAAUCAUGUUCGAUACACGCUUCAGCGUGCCAGAAAGAAUUUUUGUUCGUGCGCGACGGCGGUGGUGGACGACUAACAGGAAAACGUUGAAAAUUUAAAUAUAGUCCUACGAAUCAUUUCCUUAAUAUAACGAAUGACUCAAAUCCCAUAUGGAAGGCCUACUCGUAUUUUUUUUUUAUUUAAAUAUGAUACAUAUAAUAAGUGUUACACAAUGUAAAAAUAUAUGCAUUUCUUGUAUAGCGUAACAUAAAUUCUACAUGAUGACUACGUCUGACAGAAAUAUUAGCGUGUAAGUGUGUGUGUGUGAGAGUGUGUGUUAUAUUUCGAUUAAGUUAGUCAUAGCAUGUUUUGUAUUAUUAAGUAUAC